AUGUGGGGCACUGCCCUCCCUGGCUCUGCCUGGGGCCCCAGCCUGCUCUGCUGUGUCACUGUCUUUCUUCUGGGAACAAGUUCAUCAGAUCCCGGGGUCAUCCAGUCUCCAAGACACAUAAUCAAAGCAAAGGGAGGAAGGUCCAUUCUCAAAUGUACUCCCAUCUCUGGACAUGACACUGUACUCUGGUACCAGCAAACUCUGGGCCAGGAACUGAAGUUCCUCAUUCAGCAUUAUCGAGAAAUGGAGGGAGAGAAAGGAAACAUCCCCAACCGAUUCUCAGUCCAGCAGUUCAGUGACUAUCACUCUGAGAUGAACGUGAGCGCCUUGCAGCUGGAGGACUCUGCUGUGUACUUCUGUGCCAGCUCAUCACAGCCUUACAGAGUGACAGGCUUUCUGUCCCUUAACCUUCCUGUCCCUGCUGAUGAUAUACUAGUGAGCAGUGGGGAGAUGCCACUCAGCCUUAGUCAAGUCCCAGAAAUGCUUGCAGCUCUUUACAAAUCUCUUUAG